rnacentral:rRNA from 1 species
GCCAGACUCCUACGGGAGGCAGCAGUGGGGAAUAUUGGACAAUGGGGGGAACCCUGAUCCAGCGACGCCGCGUGAGUGAAGAAGUAUUUCGGUAUGUAAAGCUCUCUCAGCAGGGAAGAAAGAAAUGACGGUACCUGACUAAGAAGCCCCGGCUAACUACGUGCCAGCAGCCGCGGUAAUACGUAGGGGGCAAGCGUUAUCCGGAUUUACUGGGUGUAAAGGGAGCGUAGACGGCAUGGCAAGUCAGAUGUGAAAGCCCGGGGCUCAACCCCGGGACUGCAUUUGAAACUGUCAGGCUGGAGUGCAGGAGAGGUAAGUGGAAUUCCUAGUGUAGCGGUGAAAUGCGUAGAUAUUAGGAGGAACACCAGUGGCGAAGGCGGCUUACUGGACUGUAACUGACGUUGAGGCUCGAAAGCGUGGGGAGCAAACAGGAUUAGAUACCCCCGUAC